rnacentral:rRNA from 1 species
AUUGAACGCUGGCGGCAGGCCUAACACAUGCAAGUCGAGCGAGCGGCGGACGGGUGAGUAAUGUAUGGGGACUGCCCGAUAGAGGGGGAUAACUACUGGAAACGGUAGCUAAUACCGCAUACUAUCGGAUAACCCAUAUGGGAUUAGCUAGUAGGUGAGGUAAUGGCUCACCUCGGCGACGAUCCCUAGCUGGUCUGAGAGGAUGAGCAGCCACACGGGGACUGAGACACGGCCCAGACUCCGAGGGAGGCAGCAGGGGGGAAUAUUGCAUAAUGGGCGCACGCCUGAUGCAGCCAUGCCGGGUGUAUGAAGAAGUCCCGAGGGUUGUAAAGUACUUGCAGUCGGGAGGCGUUACCGACAGAAGAAGAACCGGCGAACUACGUGCCAGCAGCCGCGGUAAUA